UUUUAUUUUUUUUUAAAUCAUCUCAUCUGACCUCGAAAGCAAAGUUGGGCCUGGUUAGAACUUGGUUGGGAGACUGAAUGGGAAUACUAGGUGCUGUAAGCU
rnacentral:rRNA from 1 species